GCCUAAAAUCUAGCCCACCUUAUUCGCAUGCCACCCUUCACUUUUACAAUUAAAACAAAACAUUUUAACUUCUCAGUACAGGCGAUCGAAAGGUUUCUAAGCGCUUUAGACAUAGUACCGUAAGGGAAUGAUGAAAUAGUAAUGAAACAAACUUAAAGCCCCCAAACAGCAGAGCCUCCCCCUCGUACCUUUUGCAUCAUGGUCUAGCCAGUUUACCCAAGCAAAAUGAAAUUUUAGUUUGACCCCCCGAAACUAAACGAGCUACUUUCAAACAGCCUAAAGAGCCAACCCUUCUCUGUUGCAAAAGAGUGGGAAGAUUUUUAAGUAGAGGUGACAAACCUACCGAGCCUAGAGAUAGCUGGUUGUUCAGGAAAAGAGUUUUAGCUCUGCCUCAAGCUUCAGUAUUAUACCAAACAAAAUAUUAGGCUUAAGAGUUAUUCAAAUAAGGCACAGCUUAUUUGAAACAGGAUACAACCUCCAACACCGGGUUAAUCUAGAUUAUAAAAACUAAGUGGGCCUAAAAGCAGCCAUCUUAUAAAAAGCGUUAAAGCUUAACUUUAUUAACAUCUAUAAUACCGCACACCAUUAUUAACCCUUUAUCACUACUGAACUAUUUUAUACCCCUAUAAAAGUUAUCAUGCUAGAACUAGUAACAAGAAAUAGCCUUUCUCCAAAUGUAAACGUAAACCAAAAUGGACCUACCAUUGGUAAUUACCGCAAAUGCACUAAUCAUAGCACCAUAAACUAGAAAACCCUAUGACAUCUUUAGCGUUAACCUAACACCAGAACAUUUCAGGAAAGAUUUAAAAAGAGAGAAGGAACUCGGCAAAUCCUAACCCCGCCUGUUUACCAAAAACAUCGCCUUUUGAUUAAAUAUAAGAGGUCCAGCCUGCCCAGUGACAUAGUUUAACGGCCGCGGUAUCCUAACCGUGCAAAGGUAGCAUAAUCACUUGUUCUUUAAAUAAGGACUAGUAUCAACGGCAUCACGAGGGUUACACUGUCUCCUCUCUUUAAUCAGUGAAACUGAUCUCCCCGUGAAGAAGCGGAGAUAAACCUAUAAGACGAGAAGACCCCAUGGAGCUUAAAACCCAAUAUACACCUCUACGCUACCCUUACCACAUAAUCCAAGAGUUAUGUAUACUGGUUUUGGUUGGGGGGACCACGGAGAAAAAUAUAACCUCCAUGACAAACGCCAAAGCCCUUAUCCAUGAGCCAGAAUUCUAAGAAUUAAUAAACUGAUGUUUAAUGACCCAAUUAUUUGAUCAACGAACCAAGUUACCCUGGGGAUAACAGCGCAAUCUACUUCAAGAGCCCCUAUCGCCAAGUGGGUUUACGACCUCGAUGUUGGAUCAGGGUGUCCUAGUGGUGCCAACCGCUACUAAGGGUUCGUUUGUUCAACGAUUAAACCCUA
rnacentral:rRNA from 1 species